UACGGGGGAGGCAACGUUGUUCGGAAUCAUUGGGCGUAAAGCGCUCGUAGGCGGGAAGGCAAGUCCGUGUUGAAAGACCUCGGCUCAACCUGAGGGACCGGCUCGGGAUACUGUUUUUCUUGAGGCAUUCAGAGGGUGAUGGAAUUCCGGUGUAGCGGUGAAAUGCGUAGAUAUCGGGAGGAACACCAGUGGCGAAGGCGAUCACCUGGGGAUGUUCUGACGCUGAGGAGCGAAAGCUAGGGGAGCAAACGGG
rnacentral:rRNA from 1 species